rnacentral:rRNA from 1 species
UACGGAGGGUGCAAGCGUUACUCGGAAUCACUGGGCGUAAAGAGCGCGUAGACGGCAGCGCAAGUCUGGAGUGAAAUCCCAUGGCUUAACCAUGGAACUGCUUUGGAAACUGUGCAGCUGGAGUGCGGGAGGGGCAGGCGGAAUUCCUGGUGUAGCGGUGAAAUGCGUAGAUAUCAGGAGGAACACCGGCGGCGAAGGCGGCCUGCUGGACCGUAACUGACGUUGAGGCUCGAAAGCGUGGGGAGCAAACAGG